UCUAAUCAAAUCACUCUGUAGUGAAAAUACUGCCAAACUUCAAUAGUUGAGUCUGACAAUCAUUGAGGACCUUUAUAUUUAUACUGAUAUAUAAAUGUAUAUGUAUGUAUAUAUGUGUGUGUCAGUAACUCUAGCAUUAUAAUGUCCUCAAAGUAGAACGUGAAGUUUUUAUUUUUCCAGAUUUAGGCUCCACUACACCCUCUUCCCCAUUGCAGUUCCACCACUUGUGGCCAACGCUGACACGAACCCAUCAGGCUUUUGCAACACAUCUCCACUCUGUAUCUUUAAGCCGGCUGAUGCUGCUGACGUUGAUCCUCACUAAAUCAUUUCGCUGCAUGCAAUGGGCGUAUAGCUUCGGCCUCAUAAACGUAUUUUUAGCCUGCGGUCUCACUACUUCCCCACAGCCUAUACUCCUGACCGUCCUCUUGAUAAAAAGACAUGAAAUAUGAUGUGUUCCUAAUGUGAAACACACUCGCUGGGCGAGCAGAGAGAGGUUUCUCCCCAGCCAACGGAGACUUCUCCAUGCGCUGUUCUUCAGGAGAGAAAACGUCUUCCAUCUCUGAUGGAACAGGCACCUCUGUAGGUGCCAUGACACAAGCAUCUCCAGCGAGUCUCCUUGAGUGAAUCAAAGGUUCAAUUGUCAGGCCGUUGAGUGUUUACCGAGCCACAUCUGGGUUUGUCAUUACAGAGUUGGAGCACCAGUGAAACGGCGAGAGGAAGGGAAUGGAAAGGACAUGAGAGAGAGAAGCAAAUCCAUUCUAAAAGUUUGCUUUAAAUCCUCAAAAUGAUGAAUACGUGGGUACUUUUACCAUGGAUUGUGUGCUCUCUGGUGGGCCCGGUUCUUUCACCAUUCCAUGGAACUACUGGGUGGACUUCUAAGCUCCAGGAGAGCAAAGACUGCAUCAGCUAAAAGAAAGGUAGAACAUUCAUCUUGAACAAAGCCAAAGGUUUGAGGUAAUCAAAUGAUUCAGUGCACCAAAAAAAGGACUAAAUUAUUUAUCUAAAUCUGUACCCAGUCAAGAAGUUAACUAUAAACAGUAAAAAAUGUAAGUAAAAAGAAGCACAUUCUGAAGUAGAGAUUUGGAUCUAACAGGUUGUGGGUUUUGGCUCUGGCUCCAAGAAAAAAAAAAAAAAAAAAAGAGUGAUGAUGAACUAAAAGCUCCCUCAUGAGAAAGUUCUGCCCUUUAUCUUCUGUACAGUGUUCUUUUGGAAAACAUAAUUUUUAACAUGUUCUCUUUGCAGACUGACUCCAAUAAGGCGUCCAACUACUAAGAAGUCACUGACGUUUCCUAUAAGAUAUCAGGAUUAUAUGAAAUAAAAACUGAAGGUUGUGUCUUCAUUCCAUUCUUGCACACUUUUGGAACAGGUAAGUAUUUGAAGGAAACUGAUAGAAAUGUGUCCAAGUGUAAAUUAGAACCAAAUAAAAGGAGUUGAAAUGAAGGAGGCUCCAAUAUAACCUGUUAACACAAAGGUCAUUGAUACAGGUAAUGAGUGGAGGAUAGAAGAGCUCCUUCCAGCAGUAUCAGGUCUGCGAGGGACAGAAUUCUCCCUCGUUUGUAGAGAUUACCAUAUUUUCCACACUACAACGUGCACCAUCAACACAUUCUUAACUCGUCACAUAUUGACAUUUGCUCAAAGACCCCUCUGUGUCACUUUGACAUUUUGGGUGUCCCCAACUCAUCGUUUUUUUUUGAUGAAAGACUUUUGGUUUAAUAUAAUUCAAUCUGGGCACAAGCUGCAAUUAUUAAUUUAUUUUUCAUGAUUAAUUUUUAAACAGUCGGCACUUCCAUGAGUUAAAAGACAUGCUAUCUAUACCUCACUACUAAAUCCGAGUCCCUGAUUGGUCAAAGUUCAACUGGUUUAACUUUCAACACACAUUCAAUGGCCGUGUGAUUUGUACUUGAAGUUAAAAAAACAACUUAAACAUGAGUUUUAAAUGCAAAAGACUGAAACGGGCAUUUACACAGUGUGGUGCCAAAGGUGGUGUGAAUGUUGCUUAUGGCGUAGAGGGGACGAAAGAGUAAGAGGUUGUUUGAAAAGAGUCAAAAACUUGUUAGCAAAGUGCUACAUGGUAGCCACAUUAGAAAUGUUAGCCGCAUUGGCAUAUUCAUGAUACCUGUAACUCUCAACCUUGUUUGCAACAAGUAGAAGAAAAAAAACAGACUAAUAUUGCUAAAACAAACUGUACUCUGACUACGGUAACUCCCAACCUUUAUAGCAAUACGUAAAAAACAAUGUCCAACAUAGCUGCAUGUUAGCGGCAUUAGCGUAUUUAUAUUAGCGCCCAACUUUAUUUGCAGCAAAAUGAAUCCAUGUUCACAAAAAAAAAAAAA